rnacentral:rRNA from 1 species
UACGGAGGGUGCGAGCGUUGUCCGGAAUCACUGGGCGUAAAGGGCGCGUAGGUGGCCUGUGGAAGUCUGCGGUGAAAGCCCGGCGCUCAACGCCGGGUCGGCCGUGGAUACUCUCGGGCUUGAGCUUACUAGAGGCAGAUGGAAUUCCGGGUGUAGCGGUGGAAUGCGUAGAGAUCCGGAAGAACACCGGUGGCGAAGGCGGUCUGCUGGGGUAAUGCUGACACUGAUGCGCGACAGCGGUGGG